rnacentral:snoRNA from 1 species
CCCCAGGGAUACUGCUUCUUAAUCCUGAUUUAGAAGGCACCCUCCCAGGCCUACCACGGAUGACCCUGGGUCAUUACUCUGCAUGUGUGCCUCAGUUACCCACCGGUACAAUAUGGGUAAUAAUGCCCACUCUAGUUCAUCGUGAGGACCAAUA